AAAGUAGUGUCAAAGUGUUCGCUCAGAACGGUUCAAGAUGGAACUGCUCGUAACAAGCAAACCUAAAGAAAUGUGCAGCCUCACCACAAUCAACCUCGCGCAAACCAAGGGUGUUUGACGGGAAUGAAAAGCUACCCAAACAAGGUCAGCUCUGGUGCGCAUUGGAAGCCAUUGAGGAUCUCAUGACAUAAGAAUGCACUCGUAAUUCUAAACCAGCAUUACUUCCUUUUAAGAACCAAUAUAAUAUGGAGUUCGUUUAUUAAAAAGCAAUAGCUCUGGA